CUUGACUUAACCAUAAGAGGUCCAGCCUGCCCAGUGACAUUGUUCAACGGCCGCGGUAUCCUAACCGUGCGAAGGUAGCGUAAUCACUUGUCCUUUAAAUGAGGACUUGUAUGAACGGCCACACGAAAGCUAUGCUGUCUCCUUUUUCUAAUCAGUUAAACUAAUCUCCCCGUGAAGAAGCGGGGAUGACCAUAUAAGACGAGAAGACCCUAUGGAGCUUUAAGCGAUUGAAACACUUGUACCCAUCUUCCACACUUCCGACAGUCUACGCUUAAUUUUACACUUUGUUUCUAGCUUUAGGUUGGGGUGACCGCGGAGAAAAAACAAACCUCCACGCUGAAAGAGUUAAUCUCUAAACAAAAAGCUACAUCUUUAAGUAUUAAUACAUUAACCUGAAUUGACCCA
rnacentral:rRNA from 2 species